CUUGGUCAUUUAGAGGAAGUAAAAGUCGUAACAAGGUUUCCGUAGGUGAACCUGCGGAAGGAUCAUUACCGAGUGAGGGCUCCUUCGUGAGCCCAACCUUCCCCACCCGUGUUUUAAACAUACCCUGUUGCUUCGGCGGGCCCACUGGGCUUCGGUCCGGUCGCCGGGGGGCCUCUGUGCCCUCGGGUCCGCGCCCGCCGAUGCGCCUCAUGAACCCUGAUGAAUAUGGGCUGUCUGAGUUAUAAAUGAAAAUUGUCAAAACUUUCAACAAUGGAUCUCUUGGUUCCGGCAUCGAUGAAGAACGCAGCGAAAUGCGAUAAGUAAUGUGAAUUGCAGAAUUCCGUGAAUCAUCGAAUCUUUGAACGCACAUUGCGCCCCCUGGCAUUCCGGGGGGCAUGCCUGUCCGAGCGUCAUUUCUGCCCUCAAGCACGGCUUGUGUGUUGGGUGUGGUCCCCUCCCUGGCGGGGGGACCUGCCCGAAAGGCAGCGGCGACGUCGCGUCCGGUCCUCGAGCGUAUGGGGCUUUGUCACUCGCUCGGGAAGGACCUGCGCACGUCUGUCACAACUGUAUUUUUUACCACGGUUGACCUCGGAUCAGGUAGGAGUUACCCGCUGAACUUAAGCAUAUCAAUAAGCGGAGGA
rnacentral:rRNA from 1 species